GAUGAACGCUGGCGGCGUGCCUAAUACAUGCAAGUCGAGCGAACAGACGAGGAGCUUGCUCCUCUGACGUUAGCGGCGGACGGGUGAGUAACACGUGGAUAACCUACCUAUAAGACUGGGAUAACUUCGGGAAACCGGAGCUAAUACCGGAUAAUAUAUUGAACCGCAUGGUUCAAUAGUUAAAGACGGUUUUGCUGUCACUUAUAGAUGGUUCCGCGCCGCAUUAGCUAGUUGGUAAGGUAACGGCUUACCAAGGCAACGAUGCGUAUCCGACCUGAGAGGGUGAUCGGCCACACUGGAACUGAGAAACGGUCCAGACUCCUACGGGAGGCAGCAGUAGGGAAUCUUCCGCAAUGGGCGAAAGCAUGACGGAGCAACGCCGCGUGAGUGAUGAAGGUCUUCGGAUCGUAAAACUCUGUUAUUAGGGAAGAACAAAUGUGUAAGUAACUAUGCACGUCUUGACGGUACCUAAUCAGAAAGCCACGGCUAACUACGUG
rnacentral:rRNA from 1 species